GAGAGCUUGCUCUCGGGUGACGAGUGGCGGACGGGAGAGUAAUGUCUGGGAAACUGCCUGAUGGAGGGGGAUAACUACUGGAAACGGUAGCUAAUACCGCAUAAUGUCGCAAGACCAAAGAGGGGGACCUUCGGGCCUCUUGCCAUCAGAUGUGCCCAGAUGGGAUUAGCUAGUAGGUGGGGUAACGGCUCACCUAGGCGACGAUCCCUAGCUGGUCUGAGAGGAUGACCAGCCACACUGGAACUGAGACACGGUCCAGACUCCUACGGGAGGCAGCAGUGGGGAAUAUUGCACAAUGGGCGCAAGCCUGAUGCAGCCAUGCCGCGUGUAUGAAGAAGGCCUUCGGGUUGUAAAGUACUUUCAGCGGGGAGGAAGGUGUUGUGGUUAAUUAUUUUCAGCAAUUGACGUUACCCGCAGAAGAAGCACCGGCUAACUCCGUGCCAGCAGCCGCGGUAAUACGGAGGGUGCAAGCGUUAAUCGGAAUUACUGGGCGUAAAGCGCACGCAGGCGGUCUGUCAAGUCGGAUGUGAAAUCCCCGGGCUCAACCUGGGAACUGCAUUCGAAACUGGCAGGCUGGAGUCUUGUAGAGGGGGGUAGAAUUCCAGGUGUAGCGGUGAAAUGCGUAGAGAUCUGGAGGAAUACCGGUGGCGAAGGCGGCCCCCUGGACAAAGACUGACGCUCAGGUGCGAAAGCGUGGGGAGCAAACAGGAUUAGAUACCCUGGUAGUCCACGCCGUAAACGAUGUCGAUUUGGAGGUUGUGCCCUUGAGGCGUGGCUUCCGGAGCUAACGCGUUAAAUCGACCGCCUGGGGAGUACGGCCGCAAGGUUAAAACUCAAAUGAAUUGACGGGGGCCCGCACAAGCGGUGGAGCAUGUGGUUUAAUUCGAUGCAACGCGAAGAACCUUACCUGGUCUUGACAUCCACAGAACUUUCCAGAGAUGGAUUGGUGCCUUCGGGAACUGUGAGACAGGUGCUGCAUGGCUGUCGUCAGCUCGUGUUGUGAAAUGUUGGGUUAAGUCCCGCAACGAGCGCAACCCUUAUCCUUUGUUGCCAGCGGUCCGGCCGGGAACUCAAAGGAGACUGCCAGUGAUAAACUGGAGGAAGGUGGGGAUGACGUCAAGUCAUCAUGGCCCUUACGACCAGGGCUACACACGUGCUACAAUGGCGCAUACAAAGAGAAGCGACCUCGCGAGAGCAAGCGGACCUCAUAAAGUGCGUCGUAGUCCGGAUUGGAGUCUGCAACUCGACUCCAUGAAGUCGGAAUCGCUAGUAAUCGUAGAUCAGAAUGCUACGGUGAAUACGUUCCCGGGCCUUGUACACACCGCCCGUCACACCAUGGGAGUGGGUUGCAAAAGAAGUAGGUAGCUUAACCUUC
rnacentral:rRNA from 1 species